rnacentral:rRNA from 1 species
AGAGUUUGAUCAUGGCUCAGAACUAACGCUGGCGGCGUGCAUAACACAUGCAAGUCGAACGAGAAAGUUGGCUUCGGCCAAUGAGUAAAGUGGCGCACGGGUGCGUAACACGUGGGUAAUUUGCCCUUCAGUGGGGAAUAACUCGCCGAAAGGCGGGCUAAUACCUCAUAAUACCAUUUUCACCUUGGUGGAAUGGUCAAAGACGGCCUCUGCUUGCAAGCUGUCGCUGAAGGAUAAGCCCGCGGCCUAUCAGCUUGUUGGUGGGGUAAUAGCUCACCAAGGCUAUGACGGGUAGCUGGUCUGAGAGGAUGACCAGCCACACUGGAACUGAGACACGGUCCAGACUCCUACGGGAGGCAGCAGUGGGGAAUCUUGGGCAAUGGGGGAAACCCUGACCCAGCGACGCCGCGUGAGUGAGGAAGGCCUUCGGGUCGUAAAGCUCUGUCGGAUGGAAAGAAAUGUGUGGGAGCUAAUACCUCUCAUACUUGACGGUACCAUCAAAGGAAGCACCGGCUAACUCCGUGCCAGCAGCCGCGGUAAUACGGGGGGUGCAAGCGUUGUUCGGAAUCAUUGGGCGUAAAGGGCGUGUAGGCGGCUGGAUAAGUCAGAUGUGAAAUCCCUGGGCUUAACCCAGGAAGUGCAUUUGAAACUGUCCGGCUUGAGUAAGGGAGAGGAAAGUGGAAUUCCUGGUGUAGAGGUGAAAUUCGUAGAUAUCAGGAGGAACACCGGUGGCGAAGCGACUUUCUGGCCCUAUACUGACGCUGA